UACGGAGGAUGCAAGCGUUAUCAGGAAUGAUUGGGCGUAAAGCGUCCGCAGGUGGCAAUGUAAGUCUGCUGUCAAAGCGUCUGGCUCAACCAGAUAAAGGCAGUGGAAACUACAUAGCUAGAGUAAGGUAGGGGUAGAGGGAAUUCCUGGUGUAGCGGUGAAAUGCGUAGAGAUCAGGAAGAACACCGGUGGCGAAAGCGCUCUGCUGGACCUUAACUGACACUGAGGGACGAAAGCUAGGGGAGCGAAUGGG
rnacentral:rRNA from 1 species